AACUACGUGCCAGCAGCCGCGGUAAUACGUAGGGAGCGAGCGUUGUCCGGAAUUACUGGGUGUAAAGGGAGCGUAGGCGGGACUGCAAGUCAGAUGUGAAAUGCCGGGGCUUAACCCCGGAGCUGCAUUUGAAACUGUGGUUCUUGAGUGAAGUAGAGGCAAGCGGAAUUCCUGGUGUAGCGGUGAAAUGCGUAGAUAUCAGGAGGAACACCGGUGGCGAAGGCGGCUUGCUGGGCUUUUACUGACGCUGAGGCUCGAAAGCGUGGGCAGCAAACAGGAUUAGAUACCCUGGUAGUCCACGCUGUAAACGAUGAUUACUAGGUGUGGGGGGACUGACCCCUUCCGUGCCGCAGUUAACACAAUAAGUAAUCCACCUGGGGAGUACGGCCGCAAGGUUGAAACUCAAAGGAAUUGACGGGGGCCCGCACAAGCAGUGGAGUAUGUGGUUUAAUUCGAAGCAACGCGAAGAACCUUACCAGGUCUUGACAUCGUAUGCAUAGCAUAGAGAUAUGUGAAAUCUCUUCGGAGACAUAUAGACAGGUGGUGCAUGGUUGUCGUCAGCUCGUGUCGUGAGAUGUUGGGUUAAGUCCCGCAACGAGCGCAACCCUUACCUUUAGUUGCUACGCAAGAGCACUCUAAAGGGACUGCCGUUGACAAAACGGAGGAAGGUGGGGAUGACGUCAAAUCAUCAUGCCCCUUAUGACCUGGGCUACACACGUACUACAAUGGCAACCAACAAAGAGAAGCAAGACAGUGAUGUGGAGCGAAUCUCAAAAAAUUGUCCCAGUUCAAAUUGC
rnacentral:rRNA from 1 species